UGACGAAUAUUAGUAAUGGGCGAAAGCCUGAACUAGCAACACCGCGUGUGCGAAGAAGGCCUUCGGGUUGUAAAGCACUUUUUGAGAGGAUGAGGAAGGACGGUACUCUCAGAAUAAGUCUCGGCUAACUACGUGCCAGCAGCCGCGGUAACACGUAGGAGGCAAACGUUAUCCGGAUUUACUGGGCGUAAAGCGCGUGUAGGUGGUUUGGUAAGUAGAGCGUGAAAGCUCCUGGCUCAACUGGGAGAGGUCGUUCUAAACUGCCGGACUAGAGGAUGGUAGAGGGAGGUGGAAUUCCGGGUGUAGCGGUGGAAUGCGCAGAUAUCCGGAGGAACACCAGUGGCGAAAGCGGCCUCCUGGACCAUUCCUGACACUCAGACGCGAAAGCUAGGGUAGCAAACG
rnacentral:rRNA from 1 species